GGAAAAGAGAGAGCGCGUGAGAGAGAGAGAGAGAGAGCGCGAGAGAGUGCAAAGCAGUCCCAGGCUUCCUCGUCUCUUUCACGUCAGAGGCAGAAACCGACUGUUCUAAGGCUGUUGACUCAACACGCAGGGACAGAGAAAGGCACAGACAGAGACCCUGCCAGCUUGGGUUUCAUUUCUUCGGUGGAGCCUCCACGCUUCCUCCCAGGAAAGGAGGAAGGGAAGAGAAGGGAAGAGGUGGCUUCUCUAGGUGAGCGCAUCAGCUGGCUUCAGCCCGCACAGGCAAGAAUUCUCUUCGCAGGAAGCUCCUCUUGCUCCCCUGCCGCCCACCCCCCCAGCCCGACCAAGGACAGGAAAGGGAAAUCUCAUGGAAAAAUCAGUGGUAAAGCCAGGACCAGUUCUCUUGAUUGCCAGUGUCCCACUGGAGCAUGCUGGAUGAUCCUUGCUGUCUGAAUGCUUCACCAGUGUCUCAUCCUGUGAGCUGCAGAGACCUUCACC
rnacentral:lncRNA from 1 species